GCAAACUUAGUGAUGCAGUGUUAGACAAGCUCUAAGAUUAAACAUAAAUAGUUCAGGAGAAGAUGCGUCGAUAAACUGUUUUCUAGAGCAUUGUGAGACUCAGGUCAAUACUCUAGGUCUUCGGGGUCUCCUCCUCGGUAGCUUCCGGUGGAGCUUCUGAAAGAUAACCACAAGGGGAAAAACCCUGAGUACGGGGUACUCAGCAAGUCUUACCCGACUAACCAAUAUAAUAGUUUUUCUUUGGAAAGCAUGUCAGCCUUUGGGUGUGCUUGGUUGACACAAUUUUGCCGAAAAAGCUUACUACGAGUGAGGCCUUAGUUUUAUCUUUUAUUUUAGUAAGUUAUUACCUAACCAUUCUAGAUGAUAACAGAAGUAAAACAAUCAUAGCUGUUAAAUCAUACAGUACUUGGCAACAGGAGCUUUUAUAUCACAUGAGUUUAUACUACGGUGCUCAACAGUGAUCAAGUGCAUUCAUGACCGAGAAUUGCGGCGAUCCGGAUCAAUUUACAUCCUGCAGGAGAGCACCCCGAUCACCAGCAUUAUACGACUAUCCAGGUCGUACUAACAACCUCUCGAUUAGUAAAGUCAAUGAUUAGGAAUACAACUACCCGGACCCAGGGAUGCACCCCCACAUGGGACCCGACAUCUGGCCUGAUCUCCAUGUGAGUUUCAGGCUACACCCCUGCCAAUCUCCAGCACGUCAAGCGCGGGUACGAAGCAUUCCUGGUCAUAGAAUUUACUAAUCUACUGGGCUUUACUGGUCCCAUACCCAGUAAGUGAUCAGAUGGCUAUCACUUGAUCAGCGGUUAAGACACGAAUCGGGCCUUAACCAGAUUAAUCUAGCAGACAGAACUACAUCUCUAGCUUCUGUCCGUUUUCAUAUUCCAAACUAUCCUUCCUAAGCAACAUGUAUGACUUAAGAGUUUUCCUUAAGGUUGGUAAACCCAUCAUGUAAGCAAGUAAGCAUUUCUAGACUUGGGUAGUUUCUAAGAUUUGAACAAGUGGCAAAGAUGUCCUUAAAACAAGGCAUGAUCAUACACAAGAAUAGGUUUCAUUCAACUCCUAGACUUAGUGCAUACAAUAAACCAAUAACCUAUAACUAGUCACAUGAAAUAACGACUCCAAAAUAUAUAGGUAUAAAUACACCGGGGCUUGCCUUGAUCGUUAAAAAGAUUAGUAGAAGCCGACGGAUUUGCUUCACAGGGAACAAAUUCAAACACUUCGUCGGACUCCAAGGGUCCUUCUGAGAAUUCCCA
rnacentral:lncRNA from 1 species